rnacentral:tRNA from 1 species
GGGGAUUUAGCUCAGUGGUAGAGCGCUUGCCUAGCAAGCACAAGGCCCUGGGUUUGGUUCCUAGCUCCG